rnacentral:rRNA from 1 species
ACUCCUACGGGAGGCAGCAGUGGGGAAUAUUGCACAAUGGGCGGAAGCCUGAUGCAGCAACGCCGCGUGCGGGAUGACGGCCUUCGGGUUGUAAACCGCUUUCAGCGGGGACGAAGCGUGAGUGACGGUACCUGCAGAAGAAGCACCGGCUAACUACGUGCCAGCAGCCGCGGUAAU